CAGAUGUAAUUGUUGGAGCAGGAGUGGCCGUCUUGGACCAUGAGGUGGCAGCUGUGUGUUGAUAGGACCCUAGGUCCAUAAAACCACCAUACUAGACUUGGACUGCCUACAUUUCUGAGCAUGUGGUGGUCACUGAAGUACAAGACAGCCAGUGGGGCUCACCAUCCAGCAAGUUUCAGUGCACCCCUGUUGCCUCUUUCCCAGGACGUUCCACCAGCAUCUCAACAGGUGACUUCCUAGUCUCAUGAGGCUGAAAUCAAGGUGUUGGCUGUCCUGAGCUCAUUUUUGGAGGUUCUGGAGAAGAAUCUGCUUCCAAGCUCAUUCGGGUUGUUGGAAGAAUCCAGUUCCUUGUAAUUACAGGGUUGAGGUCCCCACGUCCUUGCUGGCUGUCACUUGGGAAACUCUCUCAGCUCCUUAAGGCCAUCUACAUCCCUCAUCAUGUUGCUUCCUCCAUCUUCAUUCCGGUGAUGGUGCGUAGAGUCCUUCUUAUGCUUCAAGUCUCUGCGACUUCCCCUUUUACAGUAUCUUUUCUGUCUCCAGCCAGAGAAAGUUCUCUGCUUUUAAGGACUCAGGUGAUUAGCUUGGACCCACCUGGUUAAUCCAGAAUAACCUCCCCAUUUUAAGGCCCGAAGCCUUAAUCACACCUGCAAAGCCCCUUUUGCCAUGUCAGGUAACAUCAUCAGAGGUUCCAGGGAUCAGGACAUAGACAUCUUUGGGGGGACAUUCUACCUACCACAGCAAUCCUCUGGUCAGUCUUAGCCAAAGACUCCAAAGAUGAGGUUUCCUACCACUUCUAUUAAACUCUGGCUAUUUGGGUUCCUGGGGGUACCUAGAGGACACUGAUCAUUUUAAUUUAUAGAUCAUCAGGAAAUUGUACAGUGCUA